UACGAAGGGGGCUAGCGUUGCUCGGAAUUACUGGGCGUAAAGCGCACGUAGGCGGCUCUUUAAGUCGGGGGUGAAAUCCUGGAGCUCAACUCCAGAACUGCCUUCGAUACUGGAGAGCUUGAGUUCGGGAGAGGUGAGUGGAACUGCGAGUGUAGAGGUGAAAUUCGUAGAUAUUCGCAAGAACACCAGUGGCGAAGGCGGCUCACUGGCCCGAUACUGACGCUGAGGUGCGAAAGCGUGGGGAGCAAACCGG
rnacentral:rRNA from 1 species